rnacentral:sRNA from 1 species
UUUGUCUUCCUACUGAAACUAGUAAAGAAAGUAAUAAAGACAGCCUUGAGAAAGCGCAGUCAGAUUAUAAAAUCACCAAUAACUAUUAUUAUGUCCAGUCAGAUGACUUAGAUCAUGAUGAAGGUGCAUUAAUUGUUGAUCAUGAAACUCAAGAGUCAGAAGGAGGAGAAGCAGGUCUAAAAAAAAUAUCUUGCUAGCUGUGAGAAGAAUCCAGGUCACAAGCAGUUUAUACCUAUUGAUAAAUUCAAAUUGAAACAUUUACCUGAAAGUUAUCAAGACAAUGAUUUGUAUGAAUACAUUAAAGCUCUAGCUGACCUGACAGUGAAAUUAAAUGUUAAAAUGACUAGUCUAGACAGACCAAAGUUUUGGUCAAAGACAACACAUCCGUAUCCUUUUUCAAAAAUGAGUGACCGGAGAAAUCUGCGGACAGGAAGUGGAAGAGUCAGAUACGUCAAUAAAUUUAAACAUGGAGUGACACACAAUUUAAUUAUUGGAAGUAGUGACUUCUCAAAGUGUUGGUGUAGAAAAUGUCAAGUUUCAGACUCACCCAGCAAUGUCUGGUGGGAGUUUUAUGUCUUCACAGCCACACACGUGGUUUUUGAUGACAUUGAGGCCAGCCACGCGACCUUGAGAUUGUUUUAUGAUAGAGAUGACAGUCCAGUGGUCAGUGUUAAUAACGUCAGUAUUGAUUAUAGAGACAUUGAUGGUGACUGGUGUGUGUUGAAAUGUGUGACAUGUGACAAAUAUAUAGGAAAUAAACUGAUGGGAAUGUGGAGACAUAAUAGAAAUGUAUGGAUGAAAAUCUUUAAUAAAUACAGAAAUUAUACAUCUAAAAACAAGCUUAAUAUUAUAGUUUCACAUCCUCAUGGAUGUUCUAAACAGGUCAGUGUUGGUCAAUGGAAGGACAAACACAAGAUGGGUGAAGAUAGAUCUAAGUUUACCUAUACAACUUGCACAUGUCCAGGAAGUAGUGGAGCACAUGUCCUGUGUCUGGGAUAUAGUGACUGGUGGCUGUUUGAUCUUGUUCACACUGGAAGUUUAAAGUCCGGAUUAAAUUACAGUGGGGUUGGUGAUGUCUACUAAGUUGUUCCAGCUGUCACCAAACAAC